rnacentral:rRNA from 1 species
AGAUUGAACGCUGGCGGCAGGCCUAACACAUGCAAGUCGAGCGCGAAAGUUCCUUCGGGAAUGAGUAGAGCGGCGGACGGGUGAGUAACGCGUAGGAAUUUGCCCAGUAGUGGGGGACAACUCGGGGGAAACUCGAGCUAAUACCGCAUACGCCCCAAGGGGGAAAGCAGGGGAUCUUCGGACCUUGCGCUAUUGGAUAAGCCUGCGUCGGAUUAGCUAGUUGGUGGGUAAGGGCCUACCAAGGCAACGAUCCGUAGCUGGUCUGAGAGGAUGAUCAGCCACACUGGGACUGAGACACGGCCCAGACUCCUACGGGAGGCAGCGAGUGGGAAUAGUUGGACAAUGGGGGCAACCCUGAUCCAGCCAUGCCGCGUGUGUGAAGAGGCCGUUAGGGUGUAAAGCACUUUCGAGUUAGGGAGG